GAAACUCUUGACGUACCAAUGCAGCUCUGUCGUCUGCUUAAAACAGAGACGCUUGCAUGUAGGCUCUGAUGCGGGACUUGCAUCGCGAUGCUUUGCUGAAGCAACGUACAGCGUGGGCACAGCUUCUGGCUCAAGAUAUUGCUUCUUUGACAGC
rnacentral:lncRNA from 1 species